AUGAAACGGAAGCAAGAGAAAAAACUUUUAGAAAAAAGAUUAUCCGUUUUCACGUCUCUGGCAGUAGAUGGUAACAUGUUAGCAAUGAGCAGGUCACUGCAGAUUUUCCUAGUCCACUGCUUUCUCCUAUGCUGCUGCCAGGGAGGACAGGUGGAAGUUACACAGGAUACAUUCUUCAUUUUUGAGUCUGGUAACGAAGCCACAAUCAAGUGCACCUACAAUGAUCCCAGCUAUAUAACUUUAUUUUGGUAUCUACAGAAAGGGAAAGAAGGGAUGAUCUCCAUGGGUUACUCGCCUGGCGAGAAGAGCUUUCAAUUAGAGGAUGAUAAAAUGAAAACCAAAUGGAACAUAGAAAGGCCAAUAAUCCUCGAAUCCAGCCUGAAGAUAAGUAACCUGGAGGUGGAUGACUCGGCAGUGUAUUUUUGUGCAGUUAGUACACAGUAUCACACAUUAAAGCAGGACCAUUACAUCUACUGUCUCCGACAUAGAAAAAUAAGUGGAGACACUUCUGAGUAA